CAGUCGCCACGGUAAUACGAAGGGUGCAAGCGUUAAUCGGAAUUACUGGGCGUAAAGCGUGCGUAGGCGGUGAGUUAAGUCUGCUGUGAAAUCCCCGGGCUCAACCUGGGAAUGGCAGUGGAUACUGGCUCGCUAGAGUGUGUCAGAGGGGGGUAGAAUUCCACGUGUAGCAGUUAAAUGCGUAGAGAUGUGGAGGAAUACCGAUGGCGGAGGCAGCCCCCUGGGCCAAUACUGACGCUCAUGCACGAAAGCGUGGGGAGCAAACAGGAUUAGAUACCCCCGUAGUCCCUGUCUCUUAUAC
rnacentral:rRNA from 1 species